CGCAGAAGGUAAGGGGCCCCAGCGAUGCGGAUCCGUCAUCUUGCGAGUCAGCAACAUAGCAGCGAAAGUAGCUAAGACAAGUAUUAUAUUUUAGACACACUCAAUUGCAUAGCAUCGAGUCCGCUGCCGCAAGAAAACCAUAGUUGAGGCGGAUUUCGUCGCAUACGGUGGCGCUGGCCUAAAUGAAUUUGUAUAAAUGUAGAAUACUCCAUUAUAGCCACUCACGUACUUAUCGCAAUCCUUGCUGGCGGGUGAGCUGCGAGCGCGGGCUUGUCUCCUUAAUGCAAGCAGCCAUGCUGGCAGCCAUAUCAAGUGCGUCUUUUAGUCGCUGAAGAUGCCAUCUAAAAAGUGCAGACGGUUUCGCCGCAAGCCGACUGUGCCGAUCGAUCGAACCUCGUGCCGCCUCAUGCCCCGCUGUGCCCUGCGGAUCUUCAACUGGCCAUGCUACAGACUGGAAGUUGCUGUUCAAUACCUGCAGACCAUACGUGCAUGCCUGAAGAGUAGCGGUGCCCAGUACUCUUCUGAGUGCCGCUGCAGAUGUUGAUAUGUAUCCUCUCCUGACGUCAAUCCACCCUCCUAUCGAUCUCAUGGCAGUUUCCAUAAAAUGACGCUUGCGGGGCACGCCCAAUGGAUCGCUACGCUAGGCGACCUGCUGCUGCUAAUCGAUUGUUGGCGGGCACGCAUUUUGCUUUACUGACACACUCACAGCGUUGUUGGACCAG
rnacentral:lncRNA from 1 species